ensembl:lncRNA
UUCGUCCUCAAAUCGAAUAUUCUUCCUUUUUUUUUUACACAAGCAAUGGGAGGAUGGGUACUGUACACUAAUGAAUAGGCUCAAAUGGGCCUGUGAAAUCGAGCGCAACCUUCCUGCAGGAAUCUCUUACCUCUGAUUGGUUGGUGGGUGUCUCCUGUUUGAAAAAAACAAAAAUGCAGCACGAGCGCACCUAACAUAGGUUCUGCUACUUCGUCUGUCAAAGAGGCUAACUAGUCUUUAUCAGAAAAUCCAUGACUUCCAGCUGUGUUAUAACAUGCUCAGUAUACUCCACAGGCUGCGGGAAGACCUUAUUAACGCACGGAGAUGGCGAGCGGCCAUCUGGAAGCCCAGACAGUCUCCUGCUCAUCGUCGCUACGCUGUACAGGCCUGCUUGGGCCUUAACCAAGAACCCUGUUAAUGCGAGCUGAACCCACUGAACAGACGUUCCAACAGAGAGGAGCAGAGCUUUACGUUACAAGCGACGCGGGAGGGUUUCCCACGGUAACCGGUAACAGAUGAGUGGGGGGUCGGGUUUCUUCAUGCAGAGAUAUUCUCCCACUGCUUGACUCACUGUUGAGCAGGGGGACGGGCGUGUUUCAGUGAGUGUGUUUGUGUGGCGUGCAUCGCUGGGGGUGGUUUAGACACGUGUGAACGUGAUUCAGCGUUUAGAUUAUUCCACAGUGCAACAGCAGCACUGACACGAAAGCUGUAGGCACUUUUGUGCAAAGAGGGCUGGGUUAUUAAUACAUUUAAGAUGUGGGGUAUUAGUUUUGAUCUUAUCUUAUUUAAUGAAGCGAAACAAGAGCUUCACACAAGAGCUUUACACGCACGCAUGCAUGCACACACACACACCUGAACUGAUUCUGUGACAUGAUUGGAUAAAACUUGGCAGGACUUUCACACAGGAGACACACUCUAAGGCCGUGGAUGCUUGCUCCCCGUAGCUCAUCGUAGCUCACCAUAGUUCUCAUAACGUCAUCCAAAGUUAAUUACUGAUCUACAUCCUUUAGCUAGGUCAGCUCUGAUCUCCGGCGGCUAGCUACAGCUUAGCCUAGCGACCAGCCAUCCAAAGUUAAUUACUGAUCUACAUCCUUUAGCUAGGUCAGCUCUGAUCUCCGGCGGCGGCUAGCUACAGCUUAGCCUAGCGACCAGCCCUCCACCCGCAGACUUCACGGCUCCCAUAUGCUGCCGUAGUCGCUAACGGCUUAGCACAUUAGCUCUAAUGAGAGCCUGCCCCAUGCGGCGGCGGUGCUCCCCGGCCGGGGCCACAUCAAGGGGGCCAGACACGAGGCCGUCGUUAAGUAAAUAUCCAACCGGGCCCGGAGCCGGAUCACAGGAGCCCCCGCCGGAGAGAGGGCGGCAGGGCUCCGCUUCAUGUGGUCGCUCAGCGUGGAGCCGGGCUAAUGACCCCGACAUUAACCCUGGGAGGAUGACAACCGGGGGCCCGCAGCGCUCCAAACAGGCGGCGCAGGGAGAGCCUCACUUUCUAAUCUGGACGAGACGGAUCCCUCUCAUUGAGCGGGGGAAAUGAGGGAGGCCCGCGAGGAGUGUCUGGAGGCAGGGAGUCGGACGCGAGCCGGGGUUUAGGAACGUCGUACCGUGGAGGUCAGGGUCCCUACAGAGGCCGGGGGGGACAUGCUACAGACAUACAAUUAGUCAGAGAAUAACACCCAACUAGACACACAGCUAGUCAGAGUAUAACACACAAGUACAGACACACAGCUAGUCAGAGAAUAACACCCAACAGACACACAGCUAGUCAGAGAAUAACACCCAACUAGACACACAGAUAGUCAGAGUAUAACACACAACUACAGACACACGAAUAACACCCAACUACAGACACACGAGUCAGAGAAUGACACCCAACAGACACACAGCUAGUCAGAGAAUAACACACAACUACAGACACACAGCUAGUCAGAGUAUAAUACACAACUACAGACACACAGCUAGUCAGAGAAUAACACACAACUACAGACACACAGCUAGUCAGAGAAUAACACCCAACUAGACACACAGCUAGUCAGAGUAUAACACACAACUACAGACACACAGCUAGUCAGAGAAUAACACUCAACUACAGACACACAGCUAGUCAGAGAAUAACACCCAACUAGACACACAACUAGUCCAAGAAUAACACACAACUACAGACACACAACUGUAGUUAUAGAUGAGAGGUAACUGAGUAGAGUAGAUUCGAAAAGGCGCAUACCAUAUGUCGGAGAUAAUAGAAUAGAAUAACGUUGACAGGUCUAGAGAUGUAUUUGGUUAAGUGGGUAAGAAUUGAUUGUUUUCAGCUGGAAAGUAAAAUAAAAUCCAAAACUGUAUUUGAGGAAAUAAAUCAUAAUAGACCAUGGCAUAAAUAGUACACUUCAUUUGAUUGAAGGCCGUGUCCUAAGCCAAGGCCUGUUCAGAUCUGAACAGUUGUUUCUAUUUACUCUGAAGACUCAGUUCUCCUGCCUGCAGCAGGCUCUGCUGUCUGAGCUGGUGUUUGACCCUCUGGACAGAAAACACAUUUAUUUGAUUUUAAAAUAUAAAGUUAACUCAAUCAGCACCCUGGACAAAAACGCUCAUAACUCGAGAAGGGUUGAGCAACGUUCUGUGGAGGCUUCCAGAAGUCUUCUGACCAAGAGGUCUGGUUCUGGUCGGCUCCGCUUCGGCACAACAAUGCAACGCACACACUGUGGUGUCUAAUGGACGUAAUCAGGGACAGCAGCUGAGGGCUACACAGGCUCUCCUUUGUUAUACACACACAUACACAAAACACACACACACACAAAAACACAAACACACACACAGGUGGAGAGAGGAGGGCAGAGCUGUAGAGAGGAGAAACAAGGAGAGGAGAAGAGGGGGGGAGGAGAGGAGAGCAGAAUAGAGGAGAGGGGAGGAGAAGAGAGGAGAGAAGAGAGGAGAGGCGAAGAGAGGAGAAACAAGGAGAGGAGUAAAGAGGGGAGAAGAGAGUAGAGGAGAGCAGAAGAGUGGAGGAGAGAGCAGUGGAGACGAGAGGAGAGGAGUAGAGAAUGAGAGGAGAGAGAGGAGAGGUCGAAGAGAGGAGAAACGAGGAGAGGAGUUCUCAGGGUUAACGAGAACGUUCUGUCCUACCAGGAUGAACAUGCUGACAUGGACCCCUCAGCACAAACUCAUCCUAACACGCAGACGCACACACACCUGAGGAAGUCUGCAGUGUGGCCGCCAUCUAGUGGUCACAGAAGGAACUGCUACUUGAGGGGCUGCCCUUGGAUAGCAGCUAGGUGUGAUGUUGUGCAGGCAGACAUCUUGAGGAUUGUUCACACGAGGAGCCUUCUGAUCCACUGAUCCACAAUGACUCAUAAAACACGACGCUACAGCUGCAUAUCGUUCCCCAGUCUACCUGACGAGACGAAGGCAUAUUUGGGUUCUGACGUGCAGCUGGAGCAGUGCCUACAGGCUGCUGCUGAGGAGAGCGUGUUCAGCACAGAGCGUCUGGAGGAACGCAUGUCAGCCGGAACACACCUGACCAGGUGUUCAUCUCCUCCGUCUGGGUCUGCUCC